rnacentral:rRNA from 1 species
AAACAUGCUAGUCGUGGGGCAGCAUGACUGUAGCAAUACAGUUGAUGGCGACCGGCAGACGGGUGCGGAACACGUACACAACCUUCCUUUUAGUGGAGAAUAGCCCAGGGAAACUUGGAUUAAUACUCCGUAACAUAUAGAAGUGGCAUCACUUUUAUAUUAUAGCAGCAAUGCGCUAGAAGAUGGGUGUGCGGCUGAUUAGAUAGUUGGCGGGGUAACGGCCCACCAAGUCGACGAUCAGUAACUGGUGUGAGAGCACGACCAGUCACACGGGCACUGAGGCACGGGCCCGACUCCUACGGGAGGCAGCAGUAAGGAAUAUUGGUCAAUGGACGCAAGUCUGGACCAGCCAUGCCGCGUGGAGGAUGAAAGGUCCUCUGGAUUGUAAACUUCUUAUAUUUGGGAAGAAAUCUAUCUUUUCUUGGAUAGUUGACGGUCCAGAUGAAUAAGCACCGGCCAACUCCGUGCCAGCAGCCGCGGUAAUACGGAGGGUGCAAGCGUUAUCCGGAUUCACUGGGUUUAAAGGGUGCGUA